UAGUAUUCAAUUGUCAGAGGUGAAAUUCUUGGAUUUAUUGAAGACUAACUACUGCGAAAGCAUUUGCCAAGGAUGUUUUCAUUAAUCAAGACCGAAAGUUAGGGGAUCGAAGACGAUCAGAUACCGUCGUAGUCUUAACCAUAAACUAUGCCGACUAGGGAUCGGAUGAUGUUAAUUUUUUAAUGACUCA
rnacentral:rRNA from 1 species